rnacentral:lncRNA from 10 species
AGAGUUUCUCUUGUUGCCCAGGCUGGAGUGCAAUGGCGUGAUCUUAGCUCAUCGCAACCUCUGCCUCCCAGGUUCAAACAAUUCUCCUGCCUCAGUCUCCUGAGUAGCUGGAAUUACAGUUUAUAGCUCAGCAGUCCCAAGAUGGCCGAAUAGGAACAGCUCCAGUCUACAGCUCCCAGCGUGAGUGAUGCAGAAGAUGGGUGACUUCUGCAUUUCCAACCAAGAAUUUCUUGUACCAUGUUCUAGUAAGCCAGGGUGUGAGAAAGAAGGUAACAUCCCCUUUUAUCCCAAGCUUGACAUCCUUAUAUGUCCGGAAUUGGUGGGUUCUUGGUCUCACUGACUUCAAGAAUAAAGCCGCUGACCCUUGCUGUGAGGGUUACAGUUCUUAAAGGCGGCGUGUCCGGAAUUUGUUCCUUCUGAUGUUCGGAUGUGUUCGCAGUUUCUUCCUUCUGGUGGGUUCAUGGUCUUGCUGACUCAGGAGCAAAGCUGCAGACCUUCCUGAUAAGUGUUACAACUCUUAAGGUGGCGCGUCUGGAGUUGUUCGUUCCUCCCGGUGGGUUGGUGGUCUCCAUGGCUUUAGCAGUGAAGCUGCAGACCUCCGCGGUGAGUGUUACAGCUCAUAAAAAAUGACCCAAAAAGUGAGCAGCAGCAAGAUUUAUUGCAAAGAGUGAAAGAAUAAACCUUCCACAGUGUUGAAGGGGGCCCCAGCAGGUUGCCACUGCUGGCUGGCGCAGCCUGCUUUUAUUCUCUUAUCUGGCCCCACCCACAUCCUGCUGAUUGGUCCAUUUUACAGAGAGCUGAUUGGUCUGUUUUACAGAGAGCUGAUUGGUCGUUUUGACAGGGUGCUGAUUGGUGCAUUUACAAUCCCUGAGCUAGACACAAAAGUUCUCCAGGUCACCACUAGAUUAGCUAGAUACAGAGUGCUGAUUGGUGUAUUCACAAUCCCUUAGCUAGACAUAAAGGUUCUCCAAGUCCCCACUAGAUCAGCUAGACACAGAGCACAGAUUGGUGCAUUUACAAACCUUGAGCUAGACACAGAGUGCUGAUUGGUGCAUUUACAAAUCUUGAGCUAGAUACAGAGUGCCCAUUGGUGUAUUCACAAUCCCUUAGCUAGACAUAAAGAUUCUCCAAGUCCCCACCAGAUUAGCUAGAUACAGAGUGCGGAUUGGUGCAUCCACAAACCCUGAGCUAGACACAGGGUGCUAAUUGGUGUGUUUACAAACCUUGAGCUAGAUACAGAGUGCUGAUUGGUGUAUUUACAAUCUCUUAGCUAGACAUAAAGGUUCUCCAAGUCCCCACUAAACUCAGGAGCCCAGCCGGCUUCACCCAGUGGAUCCCGCACUGGGGCGCAGGUGGAGCUGCCUGCCAGUCCUCCUGUGUGCCUGCACUC